CCGGCCAGCAGGUCGACCUCCUCAGCCCCCGGGCUCGGCUGGGACCGGAGAGCAGGUGGAAAUCCUCAUCCCCCAGCUGAAUUGGGGGGCUGAGAUAAUAAAGCCUGUGGCAUAGAGCAAGGAGGGAAGAGAAACAACCGCUGGAAAUAAGUCAGACAGCUGAUGCAGUAUCUACCAGUCCCUGUGAAAAUGGGGUGCAGAGUCAGCUGAAGAGAGCGCGCGCCGCUUGAAGGAGGCUCUUCUUCCUCUGACCUCGCUGGCCUCUUCGGAUCGCACUUGGGACCUCUGGGAUCAGGCUCGCUUGGCUUUGUCAAGAUUCCUUUGGACUUUCCAGUCAGCUAUAAAGGAAGCUUGCCAGGCGGUUGCAAAAUUUCUGAACUUCUUAUUGG